CUACGUGCCAGCAGCCGCGGUAAUACGUAGGGUGCGAGCGUUAAUCGGAAUUACUGGGCGUAAAGCGAGCGCAGACGGUUACUUAAGCAGGAUGUGAAAUCCCCGGGCUCAACCUGGGAACUGCGUUCUGAACUGGGUGACUAGAGUGUGUCAGAGGGAGGUAGAAUUCCACGUGUAGCAGUGAAAUGCGUAGAGAUGUGGAGGAAUACCGAUGGCGAAGGCAGCCUCCUGGGAUAACACUGACGUUCAUGCUCGAAAGCGUGGGUAGCAAACAGGAUUAGAUACCCUGGUAGUCCACGCCCUAAACGAUGUCGAUUAGCUGUUGGGCAGCUUGACUGCUUAGUAGCGUAGCUAACGCGUGAAAUCGACCGUCUGGGGAGUACGGUCGCAAGAUUAAAACUCAAAGGAAUUGACGGGGACCCGCACAAGCGGUGGAUGAUGUGGAUUAAUUCGAUGCAACGCGAAGAACCUUACCUGGUCUUGACAU
rnacentral:rRNA from 1 species